UUUUUUUCAUUUUAAUUUCUUUCUGUGGAAUCAUUAGUAAGAUAUAGUGCCUUGUUUGAGAUGCCUUUACAUGACAGAAACGAACAGGAAAGUAUGAUAAUACCUUUUUGGGAUUAAGAAUCCAUGACAAGUGUUUGCAAAAUCCAAUUAUGUUGCAGCCAAAAGAUGGAGAAGAAAAGCAAAAUCAAAGUGGGCAGAUUAGAAAGAAAUUGAUUCUGUUGCCUCUGGUGUCACAGUCCAUGCUCCUGUCCACUUGUGAACAGAUAAUACCAAAAAAAUGCUUACUUUUUAUUUUGCACCAAUUAUGUUAAAAUAUUCUCUUGGUGCA